rnacentral:rRNA from 1 species
UGCAGUCGAACGAGACCUUCGGGUCUAGUGGCGCACGGGUGCGUAACGCGUGGGAACCUGCCUUUAGGUUCGGAAUAACUCAGAGAAAUUUGAGCUAAUACCGGAUAAUGUCUUCGGACCAAAGAUUUAUCGCCUUUAGAUGGGCCCGCGUUGGAUUAGCUAGUUGGUGGGGUAAAGGCCUACCAAGGCGACGAUCCAUAGCUGGUCUGAGAGGAUGAUCAGCCACACUGGGACUGAGACACGGCCCAGACUCCUACGGGAGGCAGCAGUGGGGAAUAUUGGACAAUGGGCGAAAGCCUGAUCCAGCAAUGCCGCGUGAGUGAUGAAGGCCUUAGGGUUGUAAAGCUCUUUUACCCGAGAUGAUAAUGACAGUAUCGGGAGAAUAAGCUCCGGCUAACUCCGUGCCAGCAGCCGCGGUAAUACGGAGGGAGCUAGCGUUGUUCGGAAUUACUGGGCGUAAAGCGCACGUAGGCGGCUUUUUAAGUCAGGGGUGAAAUCCCGGGGCUCAACCCCGGAACUGCCCUUGAAACUGGGAAGCUAGAAUCUUGGAGAGGCGAGUGGAAUUCCGAGUGUAGAGGUGAAAUUCGUAGAUAUUCGGAAAGAACACAGUGG